UUCUGCCCUAUGAUUAUUUUAAUGGCUGCAGUAUACUGACUGUGCAAAGGUAGCAUAAUAAUUAGUCAUUUAAUUGGUGACUUGUAUGAAUGAAUUAAUGUGAAAUUUUUUUUAUUAUUUAUAUUAUUAUAAUUUAAUUUUUAAGUAAGAAAGCUUAAGUUUUUUUUUGGGACGAUAAGACCCUAUAGAACUUUAAAUUUUUUUAUUUAUAUUAUUUUGGUUAUUAAGAUUAAUUUAAAUUAUUAUAUUUUUUUUAUUGGGGUGAUAAAUAAAUUUUACUUUAUUUUUUUAUAUCAUUAAUUAAUGUUUAUUUGAUCCAAAUUUUUGAUUAUAAGAUUUAGUUACCUUAGGGAUAACAGCGUAAUUUCAAUGAGGAGUUCAUAUCUAUAUUGAAGUUUGCGACCUCGAUGUUGAAUUAAGAUAAGAUUAUGGGGUAG
rnacentral:rRNA from 1 species